AUGUACAUGCCUACAACGUUAAUGUACUAGAUCCCAUUAGAAAUAUGUAGUUAAGAGAACUUGGGCUAGCGUAGUACUAGGAUGGGUAACGUCCCGAAAAGUCCUAGUGUUUUACAUG
rnacentral:rRNA from 1 species